rnacentral:misc_RNA from 1 species
UUUUUAUAUUCUUUUUCUCUACUUCAGGGCUAGUUGUCAUGUUUGGACUUAGAGAGAUUUUUUUUAAAUGUUGAAAAAAUACUCCUAAAUUGUUUUACCAUGUAAAAGUAACUGGGGUGGAUGAACUUGCGUUUUCUGAAUGCAAUGCACUAAAUUUUUUUACCAUGUAAAAUUUGUUGGGCAGGUGAAACAAUACUGUAAAUUUUUUGACCAUGUAAAAUUUGCUGGUGUGGACAAAAUUAUUUUACCAGGGUUUAACUUCAGGGCUAGUUUCUAGUGUUAUAUAGCCAAGGACCAUAUUUUUGUGUUACACUUUCAGCUUCUCAGCUAUAACACCUUCAACACAAGGAGAAAGUCCCCG